CUGGAAUGCACCUCCACUUAGAUGUUCUGCUGCCAGUGAUUUUGGCAGAUAACAGAGAGGCAGAGAUUGGAGCAGAGCCAUUGAAGCAAUAGUGGGAUCUGUUGGAAGAGAGGAAGUGCAGAAAGGAGAGAGGAAAGGAGGCAAAAAGAUAGAAGUGGAAUGGAGGAGAAGGGAAAAGGGAAAAGGGGAAGAGAAAGAAAUGAGAGAAAAAGAAAGGAUAUAAAAGGAUGACAAAUUACUCCUCUGAGCCAUGUUAUAUGCUGCAUAAUUUACAGUAAAUUGAAAUAUUGUUAAUCUAUAAAGGCUUUAUUGUUCUCUUUUUCUCUUGGCCAGCCUCUGACAUAAGCAGAAACUCUUUUCUGGGCUAAAGCAGUCGAGGGCCCUGCAAGAGAGCCUGGUGCCCAGACUGGAGCUGGAAAAGGGAUUUGGCCUCUGCUGGGACAAUUCUGAGGGCUCAGGCUUAGAGGAGCCCAGGGAAUGUGAGGUUGUUGAGCAAGCUUCAGGAGCUUUCAGUCAGUGCUUCUUCUACAAAAGGAGAACUUCCUUGUCAGCAACUGAGAGGAUCCUGAAGAGUUCCAAGGUUUGGUUUGUUUUUUUAAUAUAACAAGAAUUCAGAUAAAGAAGAGUUGCGUGUAUAAAGGAGGUGAGGAUUAGUGAAGAAGCAAACAUGAGAUUUUUUUUUUGCUUAUGUGGAAGGGGAGACAAAAUAAGAAAGCUGCUUGUAGAAAUAUGGAAAGUCUCCAGUGUAAUGAAUAAUAAUUUCAAAAGUAUUUUGUGAGAUCUAACAGUAUUUAUAUGUAAAUACUGUCUCAGAAGGUAGUGGGAAAAGACCAACAGUUUUCCUAACAUCGGUUGGGAAACAGAAUUUUCAGUUCUGGAAGGCUUGCCAUUUCCAUAGGAACCAGAUGAGAUGAAGUAGAAAGACUUGAGAGGUGAUUAAAAAGUAUUUUAUAUUGAAAACAAACUUUCUAGCUGAUGACAUAAAUUACUUUUAAGGGAGCAAAUGGUUUUCUAGCAAGUUUAAAAAAAACCAAGUAUUUGCCUUUUAGUGACUGUGUUAGAGAGCCUUGGAGAGCAACAAGCUCAGCACAACUUUAGAGGAGCCAUGGGCACAUGUUCUGAGGUGCUGGAAAUCUAAUUUAUGCUACCAGAAUUUUGUGGAUUCUGUUAAAAUCUAAAUACAUGCAACAAACCCCUAAAGCUUCAUAAAUCAAGAAAGGAUUUUCACUACUUUGCAUUGCUCUGAACAGAGUUUGGAGGUGAGUGAUGUGAGCAGAACACUUCAUCCCACUGUGGUGCUUGGGGA
rnacentral:lncRNA from 1 species